GGGGCCAGAGGGAAGGGACAAAGAGGGCAUGGUUUACAGGUAAUUUGCAUAUAAUUUGCAUACUGUGAGAGACUGCACCUCCACAGGCAUCCUCACAGAUUACCCAUAUCUGCAAUGGCUUCCACAAGUUUACCUGGAACCUCCAAAUCUCAAGGACCUUCCACUGGGAG